GUUCGAAGCCAGCCUGGUCUACAGAGCAAGUUCCAGGAUAGGCUACAAAGCUGCACAGAGAAACCCUGUCUCAAACCCCCCCACAAAAAAAUCAACACAAAAGUGUAAGUUUCCUUUAGUUAUCCUCUAAAUAUAGACUUAAAGGUACUUCUCAUUGGACUAAAAACAUCUCUGUUCAAUCAGUAACUGAUUCUCUGGACAUAGAAAAAAUGUUCAUGCCUUUUAUCCCAAAGCCAUAGCCUUUGCUAUGACACCAAGAUAUAAAUCUGUUCCAGCUGUUUUACAGACACCAGUAACUGCCUUUUCUAUAAUGUGGAUUUCAGUAUAAUGAUAAUGCUAAUAUAUCUAAAACUUUCAUCUCCUUUGGUAAAAACUAAAAUUCAUAUGAGCUUCCAGGAAUCAAAACCAUAAGGCUUGCAUCUGUCAACAAAUCAAACAAAGAGGGUUCCAAAUGUAAAAUUUCUCUUUUUCUGCCCAGCCUGUAUCUUAACAGAGUUCCACCUGGCUGACAAUCACCAUCUCCCCCCCCCCCCAACAAAAAAACCAAACCAAACCAAACAAAAAAACCUGUAAAUUACAAGCUACUGAGCUCUGGACUUACUAAAUGCUAAUAUAAACCAGUCCCGCUGAUAUAAGUGCUCCCUCCCCAUCACCUGGAACAGCCAAUCAGAUGCUUCUUACAAACAAGCCUUUGCUUAAGCCUCUCAGCCUUCCUGGGCCCUGACUACAUAUGCCCUAGCUCACCUGGAAGCAGCUAUGGAAGGCAUCAUCCCUGCUACCAUAACAGCGGCUAGAUAGGUAAGUUAAACAAACAACUCACAAACACCAAUGGCUAAUGAGACCAGGUAAUUUCCUGGAAUUCUGGGAGCUGUAGUUCUUAAAAGAUAACACCUACCCAAGUACCAGGUAACUUCCUAGGACUUUGGGAAUUAUACUUCUUAACAUAUAAUAACAAAGCCUUAUAAAAAGGUAUGAUUACAUAUGGGUUUUGUCCAUAUAAGCCCCAACAAUGUAUAUCAAAGCCAUACAACUAAAAGGUUUCCAGAUGAUGGCUCUGACAAGAUUCCAUCUUGGUCAAUAUUUAAAAUUUUAAUAAAAGCUAAUUUUAACUUUACCUCCUGUCCCAUAUAUAUAUAUAUAUAUAUAUAUAUAUAUGUAUGUAUGUAUGUUUCAAAUCUGGGACAAGAGGCUGAGAUGCCUAUUUAACACAUCAAAGCUAGACCUGCUGCCAGGUUCUCCCAGUGCCCCCCAGUCCUUACCUAUUACAGGGUAUGGCUCACAUACCCUGUCCUAAAUUUAAAAAUUAAAAGAAAAACUAAUAAAGGUCAACUUAAAAACAAAAAUGACCAUCUACACCUCUAGCAAUACAAUUAGCAAAGACAAUGGCCACCCUAAAAAUAUUCUAUAUCUACAGAAAAUUUAAACACCCUCCCAUCUUGGUAUGAUGGAUGGCCUUACCCCAUGAAUGGAAUAUGGAAGAGACCUGACCUCCUCAUAGCAGGAAGAGGUUUCUUUGCUUGUGGUUUUUUUUUGUUUUGUUUUGUUUUGUUUUUUGGUUUUGUUUUGUUUUUUUUUCUACAGAAAGGACCAACCGAGGCCUAUUUGGAUCCCAGCCAGAAAUGUCCAGCAACGCACCCCCAACCAAAAAGAUGGCUCAUCUCUCACUGUCUGGUCAGGGACAGAGAAGAUGGAAGAAACUCCACCCCUUGAAGAACAACAAAAUCUCCUGAAGGGACAUCGAUGACCUGGUGGCCACUGCCCAAGCCAUAUGCCCUCCCACCUCCUCUGCUAUUUUAAUGGCAGUCUUUAUUAUAUCAUAGGGCUGUCCUGCCACCAUUUAACCCCCUAAUUCUCAACCCAACAGUCACCACUGGCAUGUUUCCUUCGAGGAAACCUAUUAGGACAAAAAAACAAUGAGAUUGGAUCCAUGGACUGUCCCAACCAAGGAUGCCAUCCCUAUUUCAACACCUAAAUAACCAUCUCACUAUUAUUGUACUUGACUCCUGGAAUGAAAGAUAAAGAACAGUAGUCAUAGGAAAACAGUUAUGUUAAAUAUCUCUCUGCUGAUGUUCAUAUUUCUCAACAGCUAUUGCAGACCUCCCAGUCCAUGCUAACCCAUAGAAAAAUUCUUAAAGAGGAGAUACAGCUAAGAAGAAAUUCUCAGUCCACCCUAGCUACAGUCUGCCCAUAUGAAGAGAAAGAAGCAACACUGCUGCUAAUCAAAGACAAAAGAUAUUCCUUCCUUUACUGAUAGCAAUAAGACUUGCCAUCUUGUCAUCUCCUUUGGAUCUUCCAGGGCUACAGCUGCCAUCGUCCAGACACAUCAUCUGUCUGGAGACUUCAGAUACAGACUUGAUCAAACAAUGACAUCUACAACUGAGAGCCUUGAGUCACUUGAAAAACAGAUGAAGUCUCUUGCCAGGGUUGUGCUCCAAAACAAAAGCGCAUUAGACCUCCUAAGUGCUGAACACGGGAAAACUUGCUUGGUAUUAGGGAAAGAAUAUUGCUUUUAUGUAAACAAAUCAGAUGUUGUUAAACUAAUGUCAACACUCUCAAAAAACGAUACAAAGACCUACUCUCAAAAUCCCAGUCUGUAUAACAAAUUAGCCGGUUCCAUAAAUGCUAUUUUCUUGGCUCCUACA